rnacentral:rRNA from 1 species
UACGUAGGGGGCAAGCGUUGUCCGGAUUUAUUGGGCGUAAAGAGCGUGUAGGCGGCCAGAUAGGUCAGCUGUGAAAACUCGAGGCUCAACCUCGAGACGUCGGUUGAAACCAUCUGGCUAGAGUCCGGAAGAGGAGAGUGGAAUUCCUGGUGUAGCGGUGAAAUGCGCAGAUAUCAGGAAGAACACCAAUGGCGAAAGCAGCUUUCUGGGACGGUACUGACGCUGAGACGCGAAAGCGUGGGGAGCGAACAGG